rnacentral:rRNA from 1 species
GUGAGUAACACGUGGGUGAUCUGCCCUGCACUUCGGGAUAAGCCUGGGAAACUGGGUCUAAUACCGGAUAGGAGCCAUUUUUAGUGUGAUGGUUGGAAAGUUUUUUCGGUGUAGGAUGAGCUCGCGGCCUAUCAGCUUGUUGGUGGGGUGAUGGCCUACCAAGGCGGCGACGGGUAGCCGGCCUGAGAGGGUGGACGGCCACAUUGGGACUGAGAUACGGCCCAGACUCCUACGGGAGGCAGCAGUGGGGAAUAUUGCACAAUGGGCGCAAGCCUGAUGCAGCGACGCCGCGUGGGGGAUGACGGCCUUCGGGUUGUAAACUCCUUUCGCUAGGGACGAAGCUUUUUGUGACGGUACCUAGAUAAGAAGCACCGGCUAACUACGUGCCAGCAGCCGCGGUAAUACGUAGGGUGCGAGCGUUGUCCGGAAUUACUGGGCGUAAGGGCUCGUAGGUGGUUUGUCGCGUCGUCUGUGAAAUUCCGGGGCUUAACUCCGGGCGUGCAGGCGAUACGGGCAUAACUUGAGUACUGUAGGGGUAACUGGAAUUCCUGGUGUAGCGGUGAAAUGCGCAGAUAUCAGGAGGAACACCGAUGGCGAAGGCAGGUUACUGGGCAGUUACUGACGCUGAGGAGCGAAAGCAUGGGUAGCGAACAGGAUUAGAUACCCUGGUAGUCCAUGCCGUAAACGGUGGGCGCUAGGUG